ensembl:lncRNA
GGGUUAGGAACCAUCCAACACUUACAUUCACCUUCGUGGUACAACCAGCAGUGGAUAGAGGUGGAUACAGAUGCUUUUGGUGCUGUAACAGGCUCAGGUAGUGAUAGCUCCACUAAGGUGGAAAAGUGUCUCACUCUGUGGGGAAUCCCACUGAUCUCAGUGGCAUUAUAAGCAAUAGAAACUAACUGCCAUGAGCUGGGAGUUGUUGGUUGGUCUCUUUUAAUUUAAUCAGAAUGAAAUGUAUUGUAGUCUCGGAUUCCCAAAGGAAGGAUGUCUAUAAUAAUAACCUGCAAUUAUAUCCUAAAUACUCAGAAAGUUUUUUUCUUUCCUGCGGCGCUUGUAAUUUUGCUUGAGAGAAGGAAAAUAAGAAGAAAAUUCCCAAAUGAGGAUUUCUCUAAGCACUACAUGCACAGAACUUUUCAGUGAUAUCAGACAGUAUUUGUUCUUUGAGUGCUAUUCAGUAAAGUCAUCACACCUCUCAGUAGAAGACUCAACUGUUCUCUUAGCUUCCUUCACAAUGAACGGACACUGAAGAUUGCUACACCUGCUGAGCUGGGAAUAUUCAGCCUGGAGAAGAGGAUGCUUAGGGGAGACCUUAUUGCUCUCUAUAACUUCCUGAAGGGAGGUUGUACUGAGCUGUGGGUUGGCCUCUUCUCUCAUGUCCUUAGUGAUAGGACCAGAGGGAACGGUUUCAAGCUACAGCAGGGGAGAUUCAGGUUUGACAUUAGGAGGUAUUACUUCUCCGAAAGGGUGGUCAGGCACUGGAAUGGACUGCCCAGGGAGGUGGUGGAGUCACUGACUCUGGGGGUGCUCAAGGAAUGACUGGAUGUUGUGUUGAGGGACAUGGUUUAGUGGGAGCUAUUGGUGACAGGUGAACGGUUGGACUGGAUGAUCUUUUAGGUCUUUUCCAACCUUUGUGAUUCUAUGACCAGGAACAGCAUAACACACAUGAGAUAUGGUCUGUUGGACAACAACACAUUGCAGUCUUUCCAGUGGAUGUUGUUUCUUGAAGAGCAACUCAACCUCACUCCGCAUACCCUCCAGGCACAGUGAAAAGCAGGGGGUGAGCGAGGUAGGGAUCUAUUCUGCAACACAAGAUUUGGAAAAACUAUUACUCACCAAGAUGGGCUGUGUCCUGCUACUAAAUGCUUUCACCCUAACUCCUCACAGGGCAGUCCCAGCCACUCCUGCAACCAAUCACCAAGGCUACUUUUUGCCUGAAGCCACCCAGUGGCCCCACAGCCCCAACAGGAACCCAGCCCAAUGCACUGGGCACUACUGCACUUUCCCUCAAGUCAUGGAUAACAACCACAAAGGAACAAAUAUGACCUCACAAUGGAUCAUAUUUCAGAAUGGCCUUGAGGCAGAUGCUCAAAGGCAAGCCCUGCUCCUGGUGAGCUAUGCCAGUGUUCUUUAAUAGGUCAUACCAAACAAAGAGGAGCCCUUGAAGACCCAGACUAUGUUUCCAUGUGCAGUACUUCCCUGGGAGGUAAUUUUAACUGUGCAGUUCCCAGUCAAUCCUUGCAUUUUACAGCAGCUAUUUAUUACAGCGUGAAACAAAGGUGCUUUGUUUGGGGAAUUUAAUGCCUAAUGAUUAAUAUGAAAUAGUUUCAUCGAGUGACUCUUUUCUCAGAUAACAAUUUGUCAGUGAAUUGUUAAAAUCCCUGCUUAGGCCUUUUGCUCACUAAGGCUACACGUGUGAUGAACUUCAAAGUGAGUGUUACCUUAACGAACAGUUCUGCAGGGUGGUUUU